rnacentral:rRNA from 1 species
AGAGUUUGAUCAUGGCUCAGAUUGAACGCUGGCGGCAGGCUUAACACAUGCAAGUCGAGCGGAGAGAGGUAGCUUGCUACUGAUCUUAGCGGCGGACGGGUGAGUAAUGCUUAGGAAUCUGCCUAUUAGUGGGGGACAACACUUCGAAAGGAAUGCUAAUACCGCAUACGUCCUACGGGAGAAAGCAGGGGAUCUUCGGACCUUGCGCUAAUAGAUGAGCCUAAGUCGGAUUAGCUAGUUGGUGGGGUAAAGGCCUACCAAGGCGACGAUCUGUAGCGGGUCUGAGAGGAUGAUCCGCCACACUGGGACUGAGACACGGCCCAGACUCCUACGGGAGGCAGCAGUGGGGAAUAUUGGACAAUGGGCGCAAGCCUGAUCCAGCCAUGCCGCGUGUGUGAAGAAGGCCUUAUGGUUGUAAAGCACUUUAAGCGAGGAGGAGGCUACUUUAGUUAAUACCUAGAGAUAGUGGACGUUACUCGCAGAAUAAGCACCGGCUAACUCUGUGCCAGCAGCCGCGGUAAUACAGAGGGUGCAAGCGUUAAUCGGAUUUACUGGGCGUAAAGCGCGCGUAGGCGGCUAAUUAAGUCAAAUGUGAAAUCCCCGAGCUUAACUUGGGAAUUGCAUUCGAUACUGGUUAGCUAGAGUGUGGGAGAGGAUGGUAGAAUUCCAGGUGUAGCGGUGAAAUGCGUAGAGAUCUGGAGGAAUACCGAUGGCGAAGGCAGCCAUCUGGCCUAACACUGACGCUGAGGUGCGAAAGCAUGGGGAGCAAACAGGAUUAGAUACCCUGGUAGUCC